CUCUCUCCCAAUUCUUCUCUCUUUCUCUCUCCUCACUUCCUCUUCUAUAUUCAGAUUUUCUCUCUCCACCACCAACGGUGGCCGCUCGUAUCUCGCCGGUCGUCGGUCGCCGGUUGCCGAUCGUAGUUCAUCGGCGCUGCUCGUAGCUUUCCGGCGCCGCUCAAAGCUCGCCGCUAGCAGUUCGCCACCACCAUCAAUCGGCAAAUUCGAUUCAAUCAUCGCUAGCAACUCGCCGGCCACUCCUUCUCGCGGUGGUCGCAAUUAUCCAGUAAGAACAUGUUCCUCCUCCCAUUCAUCAAUCAUCUCAAUCGCAAAUUCUAAAUCGGCAUUCUCGAUUUAUUAAUCGAUCAAAAUCGAACAAAAUUGAACGAAAUCUGUUAAAAAUUUCGAACGGGGUUGCUGGUGGCUGCGAUCAGAUCUGCGAAUGAGUGUGAGUGAUUGUUGGUGGCCUCUCGCCGACGACGCUGGUGACCUCUCGCCGCCUCCGCUGCUCGCAAGAAUUCAAUCACAGUGCCUUGUUCCUCCACCACGUCCCCUGUUUCCUACAAGCUCUUCUUCUUGAUUCCCCUACAUUCUUCGAUUUCAGUCAAUUCUUCGAUUCUAAAAUCAAUCCGAUCGGCAAUUUCGAAUGUCUUUCUCUCUCUUCUAUUCUUCCCUCUCUCUCUUCAAUUCUCCCUCCGGUCGUAGCCACCACCAACGCUCGGCGGUCGCCGGUCACUUCUCACCGGGCGCUGCUUGCGGUGGUGAUUCCUUCGCUGAAAUCCAGCGACGCCGCCGCGAACACCUUGCUCCUCCAAUUAAUCAAUUGAUUGAUUCUCAAAUCUCAAUCGCAAAUUCUCAAUCAGCAUUCUCGAUUUGUUAUUCGAACAAAAUUGCACCAAAAUUGAACGAAUCGAACAAUAUUUUUGAAAGGUGUUGCUGGUGGCCGCGAAUCAGAUCGUCGUUGUUGCUGGUGGCCACAAAUCAGAUCUGCGAAUAAGAACACGUGAUUGCUGGUGGCCUAUCGUCGCCGCCGCCGUGGCUGCUCUUUUCUCGCCGCCCUCGCCGCCCUCGCUACUCACCUCUCACCGUCGCUGCUGCUCGCAACCAUUCAAUCGCAGCCUUUGCUCGGUUAAUUCAAUCGUUGGUGUUCUCAAUCGAUUUCAAUCGAUUAGAAAAUCAAAUCGAUCGGCAGUUCGGUAAGAUUUUUCGAAAUCAAGAUUGAUUUCAAUCGAUUUAUCAAUUCUGAAAUAAAAAUCGAUUUCAAUCGAUUUCUCAAUUGAAAAAUUAAAUUGAUUUCAAUUUUGGUGGCGGCGAAUCAGACAUUUGAGCGUAUAUCAAGAUUUACAUCUUUGAGCAUAUAUCAUGAUUAAUAUCUUGUUUUAUUCUGAAUUUGUUUCAAAGUUGCAGCUAUUUUGAGUGAAUUUUGGAAAAGCCGAUUGUGUUUAAAUUGAAGAGAUGAUAGAAAUUGCUGAAUUUUGGAGAUCGUCAUGGUUUUGCUGUAUAUUCGAAUGUUAAUUUAAAGUUUUACUUCUAAUUUCUCA